UCCUACGGGAGGCAGCAGUGGGGAAUAUUGCGCAAUGGGCGAAAGCCUGACGCAGCAACGCCGCGUGGGGGAUGAAGGCCUUCGGGUUGUAAACCCCUUUCAGCAGGGACGAAAAUGACGGUACCUGCAGAAGAAGCCCCGGCCAACUACGUGCCAGCAGCCGCAGUAACACGUAGGGGGCAAGCGUUGUCCGGAUUUAUUGGGCGUAAAGAGCUCGUAGGCGGUUGCGUAAGUCGGAUGUGAAAACUCAGGGCUCAACCCGGAGACGCCAUCCGAUACUGCGCUGACUAGAGUCCGGUAGAGGAGCAUGGAAUUCCUGGUGUAGCGGUGAAAUGCGCAGAUAUCAGGAGGAGCACCAGUGGCGAAGGCGGUGCUCUGGGCCGGUACUGACGCUGAGGAGCGAAAGCGUGGGUAGCGAACAGGAUUAGAUACCCUGGUAGUCCACGCCGUAAGCGUUGGGCACUAGGUGUGGGGCCUCCUUAACGGGUUCCGUGCCGUAGCUAACGCAUUAAGUGCCCCGCCUGGGGAGUACGGCCGCAAGGCUAAAACUCAAAGGAAUUGACGGGGA
rnacentral:rRNA from 1 species